CUUUCUUUUCCGUAUCGCCCAGGAGCGGAGGUCUUGUCUGCCCAUGUACCAGGCUGGAAGGAGGAAGGGUCACCUUCCCCUUCCCCUUCCCCUUAUACCCUGCGGCUGCGAGAAGAGUUCGGGGCUUUGGUUGACUUUUUCUUUUUAGUUCUGGGUACCGAGAGUGGUGAAGUUUCCGGACCUAGGAGCUUGAGUCACAGAGACCAUGGAGCUAGGAUUCUCGGGUGUGGCUGAACGUUGUCGCCAGCCCAGCAAGAAACCGGAAAGAACCAGGGACGUAAGACCAGGUGGGCUUCAGACUUGGAACUUGAUGGGACCGAUGGUAUUUAGGAACCGAUCGAAGCUGCAAACCUAACGGAUUCCCUUAUGCUUCCCUUUCCCAGAAGCGGAGAGAUAUCUUCCGAGAUGGGGAAACUGAGGAGGAAGGCUGCCUUGCUACAUGUGUCCCUGGUGAAGUGGCCGACGCGGUAGGACUGGAGAGCGGCGCCGUGGCAACCAGACUCGGGGAGGUGGCAGAGCCCGAGGGCGGCCGAUCUGAGGAAGGAAGGAAGGAAGGAAGGAAGGAAGGAAGGAAGGAAGAAGCCUGGACGCUAGAGGAAGGCCCCGGGGCUCUGGGGCAAGUGCGAGGGGGAAGGGGAAAAGGGAAAGGGGGCCACAGGUUGCCGGGGCAGCCGACGUCGGCCCGGAGGGAUGCGCCCGGGCCCGGAGGGAGGAAGGGCGGGGCCCUGGUCUGGGAGCAGUCCGGGCGGGGGCCGG